GAUUAUUUACAUCCCUUAUCAUUGAUUUAUUUCAUAAGUCGCAUAUCUUUGAACGUUUCAUAAAUAAUGCACAAAUCAUUAUUAUUUAAUCUAAUGAUUAAAAAAUAAUUUAAUAAUUAUAAUUAAUAAGUAUACUAUUAAUAUAAUUAAUAAAUAUAAUUUAAAUAAUUAAAUUAUCAAAUGAAAAAUAAUACAUAUAAUUUUUAUAUGAAAAAUAAUACAAUCUUUAUAUAAAAAUUAAUUUUUGGUUUUAUUUUUUAAGCUUUUCAAUAUUUAUUGUCAUUGUUUUCGAAAUUGUUUUUUCGUUUCUAUGGAUACGCUCCUUAUCGGAUUGUAAUGCAGCAAUAAUCAAAACGAUCAUUUAUCAAAAAAUUCUUAUGAAAUACAUAUAUCGGCUAGAAGAUCGACGUGGCAGUAUUCAACAGAACUCAAAGGCUAAAACAUUAUUUUACUAAGAUUCUUUAUUUUUUGUACCAAAUUAGUGCAUUUAUUGAAAAAAGAAUAUCAAUUUGAUAUCAACAUAUGAAACAAGAAAAAUUUGUCAUCGUCUUUCAAUUGUAUCUCAAGAUUUUUAAUAAAUUAUUAAAAUGAAAACAAAAACAUCAUGCAAGGAAAUCGCAAAAUAGAAAAUAUUGCAAUUUGAAGAACAAAUAAUAUAUAUAGAUAACGAAAAAAGGAAAAAAUUAUACUUACAACUUACGUGUGGCAAAGAGCUAUGAGGACUUCUAAGCAUCUGUUUCGACGAUGAAGAUCUUGUUUUACACAUUUGGCACAGUUAACAUUUAUGCCUCGAUGUUGUUGAAGCGAAGUAUAAUCACAGGAAA